rnacentral:misc_RNA from 1 species
GAGUUCAUGCCCUCACGGGUAGAUCUCCACCCUUGAAUAAUAAACAUUGUUGCUUUGGCGGAUCGCUUCGGCUACUGGCUUCGGUUGGUAAGUGUCCGCCAGAGAACCAUAAACUUUGAAUUACAGUGUCGUCUGAGUACUAUAUAAUAGUUAAAACUUUCAACAACGGAUCUCUUGGUUCU